rnacentral:rRNA from 1 species
AGAGUUUGAUCAUGGCUCAGAACAAACGCUGGCGGCGUGCCUAACACAUGCAAGUCGUACGAGAAAGUCCGCUUCGGUGGAUGAGUAAAGUGGCGCACGGGUGAGUAACGCGUGGAUAAUCUACCCUUUAGUCUGGAAUAACUUAUCGAAAGGUGAACUAAUACCGGAUAAUAUCCCGAUUUCUUCGGCGAUCGGGAUCAAAGAAGGCCUCUGCUUGCAAGCUUUCACUGAAGGAUGAGUCCGCGUACCAUUAGCUAGUUGGCAGGGUAAUGGCCUACCAAGGUUAUGAUGGUUAGCUGGUCUGAGAGGAUGAUCAGCCACACUGGAACUGAAACACGGUCCAGACUCCUACGGGAGGCAGCAGUGAGGAAUAUUGCGCAAUGGGGGCAACCCUGACGCAGCAACGCCGCGUGAGUGAGGAAGGUUUUCGGAUUGUAAAGCUCUGUCGAGCGGAAAGAAGUGCAUGGUGGUUAAUAUCCAUCAUGCUUGACGGUACCGCUAAAGGAAGCACCGGCUAACUCCGUGCCAGCAGCCGCGGUAAUACGGGGGGUGCAAGCGUUGUUCGGAAUCAUUGGGCGUAAAGCGCGUGUAGGCGGCUGGACAAGUCAGAUGUGAAAGCCCUGGGCUUAACCCAGGAAGUGCAUUUGAAACUGUUCAGCUAGAGUAAGGGAGAGGAAAGUGGAAUUCCUGGUGUAGAGGUGAAAUUCGUAGAUAUCAGGAGGAACACCGGUGGCGAAGGCGACUUUCUAGCCCUAUACUGACGCUGAGACGCGAAAGCGUGGGUAGCAAACAGGAUUAGAUACCCUGGUAGUCCACGCUGUAAACGAUGUUCACUAGGUGUUGGGGGUAUUGACCCUUCCAGUGCCGCAGCUAACGCAUUAAGUGAACCGCCUGGGGAGUACGGUCGCAAGAUUAAAACUCAAGGAAUUGACGG